rnacentral:rRNA from 1 species
AAAAAAUGUAAUUUAGAAAUUAAAGUAGUAAUAGUUAUGUUCUUGAAAUUUAAAGAUUUUGGCGGUAUUUUAGUCUUUUCAGAGGAAUCUGUUCUAUAAUUGAUAAACCACGAUUAAUAAUACUUAAUUAAGAAAUUUAUAUAUCAUCGUAGUUUGAAUAUUUUAAAAGAAUAAAAUGUUCAUAAUUUUUUAUUAAAAAAUAAAUCAGAUCAAGGUAUAGUUUAUAAUUAAGAAGAAAUGGAUUACAAUAAAUUUAUUUAUGGCUUUAAAUUUUCAAAAUUUAAUUAAAUUGGAUUUGAAAGUAAUUUUUUUUAUAAUUUAAAAAUGAUUUAGCUCUAAAAUAUGU